UUGAGCCAUUUCCGAAAAUAGCGUCCGUUUUUCUGAAGCGACAACUGCCGAUAGCCAAAAAUUACAUAAUUCACCUACCAUUCAUUCGGCGGGGGCAAUGUUCUUUUGCUGAUUGAUAGAAGUUUGCUUGUUACCAAGUGUAUGAAGCACUUUAGCUGGCAGCAAUAUGCCGCCCUAUCACGCCCUCGGAUCGGAGCGUAGCGAGACCCGCGUCGGUGGUCCUGUUAAGGCCUGAGCUAUUUUUAGUGAUAAAUAAAAGAGGGCCCCCAGUCAAUGGGCCGGCCAGCAGUGACGUGUACGCCGCCGAACAGAAGUUUCUGGAUCAUUUUUUUGCUGGCUCGCAAGUUAACAGCAAUUGUCAACAGAGCUGUGUGUUGUGUUGCGUGCGUGAAUUGGGGGUGUGCGUGUUGUGUUGCUUCAGAAAGUGUGAUUUUGCAAACGGUUGUAAUAUGGCUGAGGUGGUGUGUGGUAGGGGUGUGUCUGGGGAAGGUGUUUCCUGCGUUCCGAAAAGACGCAAUAUCCUGCACGUACGCACUCUGUUGGAAACGCAUGUGUGACGCGCCAACUGGAGACUGAAAGCCAGAGUGAGAUAAAAAAUAAUCGUACGAUCUCGCAUACCAUGUUCAAAACAAAAACAAGAAAUUUCAUUCCUAACCACCACCAACACACCGUAGUGAACGUGCAUUUUAUCCACACCCAUACACUCAUGCACAGUAUGCGGCGGGCAGUGUUGCCAGUUGAAGGCGCGAGAUUUGUUUACAUUUUAUUGGUUGAAUUUAGUAACGAAAAAAAACUAAGCAGUUGCGGCUUAUCGGUAGAGUUAAAUGUGUGACUUUAAUGAUAAUAAUGAGGCGCCGGUUGUAUUUAGCAUGACGGGUCCGGCAUCUCGGCGGA